rnacentral:rRNA from 1 species
UACGUAGGGCGCGAGCGUUAUCCGGAAUUAUUGGGCGUAAAGAGCUCGUAGGCGGUUUGACGCGUCUGCUGUGAAAACUGGAGGCUCAACCUCCAGCCUGCAGUGGGUACGGGCAGACUCGAGUGCGGUAGGGGAGAUUGGAAUUCCUGGUGUAGCGGUGGAAUGCGCAGAUAUCAGGAGGAACACCUAUAGCGAAGGCAGCUUGCUGGGACGUUACUGACGCUAAGGCGCGAAAGCGUGGGGAGCGAACAGG